rnacentral:lncRNA from 1 species
UGAUAAUAACAUGCUAGCGUUUGCCCCCUCCCCCAUCCUCCCAGCCUGCUGCCCACAAUGGCCGCCCACUCUCAGACACGCUUUGGGGCCGGGCGGAGGGCACAGGCUGGUGCUGGCGCCCCCUGGACUCUGCCCUGGAGCCACAGCAGGUUCCCCUGCCCGGAGACCAAGGGCAGCUCAAGGUUCACCGCGUGGGCCUCGAUACACACGAGAAACCUCUGAAAUUCAAAGUGAGGAAAAGGUGUCAACACUCUCUGCAAUAACCUUGGAAAAUUAUCAACAACUACACUCUGAGGUGAUAUUUUAUUAAAAUUACAUAAUUUAGGGGCAGCUAGGUGGCGCAGUGAAUAGGGCACCAGCCCUGAAGUGAGGAGCACCUAAGUUCAAAUCCAG